rnacentral:rRNA from 1 species
UACGGAGGGGGCUAGCGUUGUUCGGAAUUACUGGGCGUAAAGCGCACGUAGGCGGCUUUGUAAGUUAGAGGUGAAAGCCCAGGGCUUAACCCUGGAAUUGCCUUUAAGACUGCAUCGCUAGAAUCGUGGAGAGGUAAGUGGAAUUCCGAGUGUAGAGGUGAAAUUCGUAGAUAUUCGGGAAGAAACACCAGUGGCGAAGGCGACUUACUGGACACGUAUUGACGCUGAGGUGGCGAAAGCGUGGGGAGCAAACAGG